ACUGAACGCUGGCGGAAUGCUUUACACAUGCAAGUCGAACGGCAGCACGGACUUCGGUCUGGUGGCGAGUGGCGAACGGGUGAGUAAUACAUCGGAACGUGCCCAAUCGUGGGGGAUAACGUAGCGAAAGCUACGCUAAUACCGCAUACGAUCUAAGGAUGAAAGCGGGGGAUCGCAAGACCUCGCGCGAUUGGAGCGGCCGAUGGCAGAUUAGGUAGUUGGUAGGGUAAAGGCCUACCAAGCCGACGAUCUGGAGCUGGUCUGAGAGGAUGAACAACCACACUGGGAAUGAGACACGGCCCAGAACCCUACGGGAGGCAGCAGUGGGGAAUAUUGGACAAUGGACGCAAGUCUGAUCCAGCCAUUCCGCGUGCAGGAUGAAGGCCCUCGGGUUGUAAACUGCUUUUGUACAGAACGAAAAGGCUCAGGUUAAUACCUAGGGCUCAUGACGGUACUGUAAGAAUAAGCACCGGCAAACUACGUGCCAGCCGCCGCCGUAA
rnacentral:rRNA from 1 species